rnacentral:rRNA from 1 species
AUUGAACGCUGGCGGCAGGCCUAACACAUGCAAGUCGAGCGGAUGAAAGGAGCUUGCUCCUCGAUUCAGCGGCGGACGGGUGAGUAAUGCCUAGGAAUCUGCCUAGUAGUGGGGGACAACGUUUCGAAAGGAACGCUAAUACCGCAUACGUCCUACGGGAGAAAGUGGGGGAUCUUCGGACCUCACGCUAUUAGAUGAGCCUAGGUCGGAUUAGCUAGUUGGUAGGGUAACGGCCUACCAAGGCGACGAUCCGUAACUGGUCUGAGAGGCUGGUCAGUCACUCUGGAACUGAGACACGGUCCAGACUCCUACGGGAGGCAGCAGUGGGGAAUAUUGGACAAUGGGCGAAAGCCUGAUCCAGCCAUGCCGCGUGUGUGAAGAAGGCCUUCGGGUCGUAAAGCACUUUAAGUUGGGAGGAAGGGCUUACAGCGAAUACCUGUGAGUUUUGACGUUACCGACAGAAUAAGCACCGGCUAACUUCGUGCCAGCCGCCGCCGUAA